AUUGAACGCUGGCGGCAUGCUUUACACAUGCAAGUCGAACGAGUGGCGCACGGGUGAGUAAUACAUCAGGACGUGUCCUAUCGUUGGGGAUAACUGAUCGAAAGAUCAGCUAAUACCGCCUACGAUUGGAGCGGCCGAUGCCCGAUUAGCUAGUUGGUGAGGUAAAGGCUCACCAGGGCGACGAUCGGUAGCUGGUCUGAGAGGACGACCAGCCACACGGGGACUGAGACACGGCCCAGACUCCUACGGGAGGCAGCAGUGGGGAAUUGUGGACAAUGGGGGCAACCCUGAUCCAGCCAUGCCGCGUGCAGGAUGAAGGUCUUCGGAUUGUAAACUGCUUUUGUCAGGGAAGCGGUACUUGAAGAAGAAGCACCGGCUAACUACGUGCCAGCAGCCGCGGUAAUUC
rnacentral:rRNA from 1 species